rnacentral:rRNA from 1 species
UGCCACAGCUAUAUCACCCUGAAGCCCAAGAGUGGUUAUCCACUGAAGCUAAGCAGGGCUGAGCCUGGUCAGUACCUGGAUGGGAGACCACAUGGGAAAACUAGUUUGCUGUUGCAA